ACACAGGGAUUGCCCUAGUAACGGCGAGUGAAGCGGCAACAGCUCAAAUUUGAAAUCUGGCUUCGGCCCGAGUUGUAAUUUGUAGAGGAAGCUUUAGGCGCGGCACCUUCUGAGUCCCCUGGAACGGGGCGCCAUAGAGGGUGAGAGCCCCGUAUAGUUGGAUGCCUAGCCUGUGUAAAGCUCCUUCGACGAGUCGAGUAGUUUGGGAAUGCUGCUCAAAAUGGGAGGUAAAUUUCUUCUAAAGCUAAAUACCGGCCAGAGACCGAUAGCGCACAAGUAGAGUGAUCGAAAGAUGAAAAGCACUUUGAAAAGAGGGUUAAAUAGCACGUGAAAUUGUUGAAAGGGAAGCGCUUGUGACCAGACUUGCGCCGGGCGGAUCAUCCGGUGUUCUCACCGGUGCACUCCGCCCGGCUCAGGCCAGCAUCGGUUCUCGCGGGGGGAUAAAGGUCCUGGGAACGUAGCUCCUCCGGGAGUGUUAUAGCCCAGGGCGUAAUGCCCUCGCGGGGACCGAGGUUCGCGCAUCUGCAAGGAUGCUGGCGUAAUGGUCAUCAGCGACCCGUCUUGAAACACGGACCAAGGAGUCAAGGUUUUGCGCGAGUGUUUGGGUGUAAAACCCGCACGCGUAAUGAAAGUGAACGUAGGUGAGAGCUUCGGCGCAUCAUCGACCGAUCCUGAUGUAUUCGGAUGGAUUUGAGUAAGAGCGUUAAGCCUUGGACCCGAAAGAUGGUGAACUAUGCUUGGAUAGGGUGAAGCCAGAGGAAACUCUGGUGGAGGCUCGCAGCGGUUCUGACGUGCAAAUCGAUCGUCAAAUCUGAGCAUGGGGCGAAAGACUAAUCGA
rnacentral:rRNA from 1 species